rnacentral:misc_RNA from 1 species
AAAAUCUGCAUCAUCUUUUCCAGAGUAUGCUCUGUAUACUUUGUUUUAGUAGUCAUAUGUGCAAAUUCCAAUGAAGUUCAUAUUUUAAGUUCUGCACUUGGAAGUUCCUUUUUUUUUUUUUUUUUAAACAUUAUUCUGGGGGAGUUGGUGUCUCAUUUAGUCAAAUUUUGUACACAUCCUAUAGGAUAAUAUCAAAGCUAAAUGUGUAAUUAUAUCUUGUUGUAAGUACUUUGUAAAGAAAAUCCAUUAUUCUCUCCAACCCAUAAUAAUUUCAUCUAACAAAUGAAAAGCAUAUGCUAUUGUUUUGUCCUAAUCAAUACGUAUCAGCACAGCAGUUAGCAGGAAGGAGUUAUUAGAGUUAGUAGGGUUUCAGUCAAAUCAUCCAUGUAUAAUUCUUUACCUCUUUGAUGGAUGAAAAAGUUUCGAAUUUCCAAGCCUGAGUGAUAGGUUGACAUGUUGCUUUUGUAUUGAUGU